rnacentral:rRNA from 1 species
GACGAACGCUGGCGGCGUGCCUAAUACAUGCGAGUAGAACGCUGAAGGAGGAGCUUGCUUCUCUGGAUGAGUUGCGAACGGGUGAGUAACGCGUAGGUAACCUGCCUGGUAGUGGGGGAUAACUAUUGGAAACGAUAGCUAAUACCGCAUAAUAGCAGUUGUUGCAUGAUAACUGUUUGAAAGGUGCAAUUGCACCGCUACCAGAUGGACCUGCGUUGUAUUAGCUAGUUGGUGGGGUAACGGCUCACCAAGGCGACGAUACAUAGCCGACCUGAGAGGGUGAUCGGCCACACUGGGACUGAGACACGGCCCAGACUCCUACGGGAGGCAGCAGUAGGGAAUCUUCGGCAAUGGACGGAAGUCUGACCGAGCAACGCCGCGUGAGUGAAGAAGGUUUUCGGAUCGUAAAGCUCUGUUGUAAGAGAAGAACGAGUGUGAGAGUGGAAAGUUCACACUGUGACGGUAUCUUACCAGAAAGGGACGGCUAACUACGUG